GCACCUGUAGCUCAAUUGGAUAGAGCACUUGACUUCGGAUCAAGGCGUUGGGGGUUCGAAUCCUCUCAGGUGCACCA
rnacentral:tRNA from 1 species